rnacentral:lncRNA from 1 species
UUUUAAUCUCCGCCCAAUUCGGAGAUAUUUGAGGACAUCCCCAAGUUACCGCCAAUUAAAAUUUUUUGGAUAUGGGAUGAGUUCAGGGAUUGCUUCAAGUUCAGGUUCAAGUAAUCCUCGCUCAAAAUCCGCCCCAUUGGCAUCACUGUAUCAAUGAUCGAUAGACUUCUCAUUUAUCUGUGUUGUAAAUUUGUCAAUAAUUGGUAUAAUUUCCUUAAUUUAUUUGUAUUGUGAUAUUCUGUCUUGAUGGUUCAGGUUAGGAUGCCAAGUUUGAGAUUUAUCUCAUGGGAGACUUAAGUACGAAACCUGAGAGAAAAUUGGGCUAACUUUUCUUGGAGAAGCAAUUCCACAUUUCCUAAUUAGUUUCUGCUUUUGUAGUUUCAUAUUAGUGCUUGUUAUUGAAAUGAAAAUUUUCUAUUGUAGGUAUGACACUGAUUUUUACAUACUGUAUCGUAUCUCUCAACUGCUCUAUCUUUUUUUCUCCUUGCCAUCCCUAGAGAUGGACAAUGGGUGGGAUAGCACAUGGCAUGGCACAUGUCUGUACAGCAUGGCAUGGUAAGAGCAUGUUUUGGUAGGACACACGGCAAGGCAUGCGGUUAGCUCAUGCUUAGAAUUUUAGGCACAUGUGCUUUAGAAGUAUAACACGAUUAGAGAUGGGCUAAAACACGGCACGUGAAAAGGCUCGUAAUAAACAUGUUUUACUUUUUAAUAAAAGUAA